AUACGGAGGAUCCGAGCGUUAUCCGGAUUUAUUGGGUUUAAAGGGUGCGCAGGCGGCCAUUUAAGUCAGCGGUUAAAUCGUGGGGCUCAACCCCAUUCUGCCGUUGAUACUGGGUGGCUUGAUUGCGGUCGAGGUUGGCGGAAUUCGUUGUGUAGCGGUGAAAUGCAUAGAUAUGACGAAGAACAUCGAUUGCGUAGGCAGCUGACCAGACCGCAAAUGACGCUCAUGCACGAAAGUGCGGGGAUCGAACAGGAUUAGAUACCCUGGUAGUCCGCACAGUAAACGAUGAAUACUUGUUUUCGGCGAUAUAAUGUCGGAGGCAAAGCGAAAGCGAUAAGUAUUCCACCUGGGGAGUACGCCGGCAACGGUGAAACUCAAAGGAAUUGACGGGG
rnacentral:rRNA from 1 species